rnacentral:ncRNA from 2 species
GGUACCACCUCGGGGUGCCGCGAGUUUUCUCGCGGCUGAGAUGCGCAAGUGAACCCGUUGAACCUGAACCGGUUAGGACCGGCGGAGGGAAGGUCAGGAUCAUCCUA